AUAACCCAGACAAAAACAGAGAAAAGGGGUCUCCUCCUAGCGGGUCGUUUAACAGCUUGAGCCUCAAAAGUAUCAAAACCCAAGCUUGGAUCUCUAAAAGGAGGAAGACGUAGACAGGUUAACGCUAAAACACACCAACCGCUCAGCCCUCCCCUCCCCCUUCGGAUAUAUAUAAAAUAACCUCCCUUUUGAAAACAAAACAAUCACACAAGCAGGCUCUGUCAUCACCGCCUUUUAUUUCUUUUAGAACAGCUUCUGAGGAUAUCAAGAGGAAAUAGAAAGAGUAACACGUGGUGUAAAUGGCCUCCGAGAGGGAAAGUUUCGACCUUUCAGGGCCAUUACACCUAACUUCCAUUGAUUGGUGAGACCUCAAACUCUGCCUCUCCACCCCCACACAGUUUCUUUCAACAGAUGAAUGAAUAGUAUUUUUAGGUUUGGAAUCAAGUGUGUUUCUCUUUACCAAAAUGGUAUGGAGGAAGUUCUUGUGAUUGACAGUAAUGCUAAUCGGCUGAUUUUGUAUCUUGAACUAAUAAAAAAGCCAUAUUAAGAUGGAUUGUAUUGUGCUGUUUUGUUGUUA